rnacentral:rRNA from 1 species
UACGUAGGGUGCAAGCGUUGUCCGGAGUUACUGGGCGUAAAGGGUGCGCAGGCGGCCUCGCGCGUCGCGAGUGAAAUCUCCCGGCUCAACUGGGAGGGUGGUCGCGAGACGGCGGGGCUUGAGGCUCGGUGAGGGGCGUGGAAUUCCGGGUGGAGCGGUGAAAUGCGUAGAGAUCCGGAGGAACACCGACGGCGUAGGCAGCGCCCUAGACGAGACCUGACGCUCAAGCACGAAAGCGCGGGGAGCGAACAGG